UGUUUGAUGUUCUAACGUUGGCCCCUGAUCGGGGUUGCGGACAGUGUCUGGUGGGUAGUUUGACUGGGGCGGUCUCCUCCUAAAGAGUAACGGAGGAGCACGAAGGUUGGCUAAUCCUGGUCGGACAUCAGGAGGUUAGUGCAAUGGCAUAAGCCAGCUUGACUGCGAGCGUGACGGCGCGAGCAGGUGCGAAAGCAGGUCAUAGUGAUCCGGUGGUUCUGAAUGGAAGGGCCAUCGCUCAACGGAUAAAAGGUACUCCGGGGAUAACAGGCUGAUACCGCCCAAGAGUUCAUAUCGACGGCGGUGUUUGGCACCUCGAUGUCGGCUCAUCACAUCCUGGGGCUGAAGUAGGUCCCAAGGGUAUGGCUGUUCGCCAUUUAAAGUGGUACGCGAGCUGGGUUUAGAACGUCGUGAGACAGUUCGGUCCCUAUCUGCCGUGGGCGCUGGAGAACUGAGGGGGGCUGCUCCUAGUACGAGAGGACCGGAGUGGACGCAUCACUGGUGUUCGGGUUGUCAUGCCAAUGGCACUGCCCGGUAGCUAAAUGCGGAAGAGAUAAGUGCUGAAAGCAUCUAAGCACGAAACUUGCCCCGAGAUGAGUUCUCCCUGAGACUUAGAGUCUCCUGAAGGAACGUUGAAGACGACGACGUUGAUAGGCCGGGUGUGUAAGCGCAGCGAUGCGUUGAGCUAACCGGUACUAAUGAACCGUGAG
rnacentral:rRNA from 1 species